AUUCCAGCUCCAAUAGCGUAUAUUAAAGUUGUUGCAGUUAAAAAGCUCGUAGUUGGAUCUCAGGGUGAGCUCAGUUGGUCGGCCUAAUUGGUCAGAACUGGCUGACUCUCCCUUGCUUCUGAAUCCCGGUCGGAGUUAGUUCUUCGUUCGUGGACUUCAGAUCGUUUACCUUGAAAAAAUUAGAGUGUUCAAAGCGGGCGUUUGCUUGAAUACAUUAGCAUGGAAUAAUGGAAUAGGACCCUGGUUCUAUUUUGUUGGUUUUGAGGACCAGAGUAAUGAUUAAUAGGGAUAGUUGGGGGCAUUCAUAUUUACAUGUCAGAGGUGAAAUUCUUGGAUUUUGGAAAGAUGAACUACUGCGAAGGCAUUUACCAAGGAUGUUUUCAUUG
rnacentral:rRNA from 1 species